rnacentral:rRNA from 1 species
UACAGAGGUGGCAAGCGUUGUUCGGAAUUACUGGGCGUAAAGGGCGCGUAGGCGGCCAUCUAAGUCAGUCGUGAAAUCCCCCGGCUUAACCUGGGAACUGCGUCUGAUACUGGAAGGCUUGAGUAUGGGAGAGGGAUGUAGAAUUCCAGGUGUAGCGGUGAAAUGCGUAGAUAUCUGGAGGAAUACCGGUGGCGAAGGCGGCAUCCUGGACCAUUACUGACGCUGAGGCGCGAAAGCUAGGGGAGCAAACGGG